rnacentral:rRNA from 1 species
UGUGAGCGUAUACCAAAGUUGUUGCAGUUAAAACGCUCGUAGUCGGAAUUUGGCAGUUCCGGAAGUGUGCACGUCGUGUGCGCACUUUGCGGGGACUGCUUUUGUGGUCUUGCGUAGGAUGAGGCACUUUCAUUAGUGAACGUCCUCACGCAACCACUCUUUACUGUGAGAAAAUCAGAGUGCUCAAAGCAGGCAUUUGCCGUGAGUGUAUUAGCAUGGAAUAAUAGAAUAGGACUCGGUUCUAUUUUGUUGGUUUGUUGGGACUGAGUAAUGAUUAAGAGGGACAGUUGGGGGCAUUUGUAUUCCGGCGCUAGAGGUGAAAUUCUUAGAUUGCCGGAAGACAAACUGCUGCGAAAGCGUCUGCCAAGGAUGUUUUCAUUGA